rnacentral:rRNA from 1 species
AGUGAACGCUGGCGGCGUGCCUAAUACAUGCAAGUCGAACGAACGAAUAAGAGCUUGCUCUUAUAAGUUAGUGGCGCACGGGUGAGUAAUAUAUAGCUAAUCUGCCUCUUAGUAGAGGAUAACAGUCGGAAACGAUUGCUAAUACUCUAUACUUCUGCUUUACAUAAGUAAAGUAGAGAAAGUUUUUCGCUAAGAGAUGAGGCUAUACUGUAUCAGCUAGUUGGUAAGGUAACGGCUUACCAAGGCUAUGACGCAUAACUGGUCUGAGAGGAUGAUCAGUCACAUGGGAACUGAGACACGGUCCAAACUCCUACGGGAGGCAGCAGUAGGGAAUAUUGCGCAAUGGGGGAAACCCUGACGCAGCAACGCCGCGUGGAGGAUGACACUUUUCGGAGCGUAAACUCCUUUUAUCGGGAAAGAAUAAUGACGGUACCCGAUGAAUAAGCACCGGCUAACUCCGUG